rnacentral:lncRNA from 1 species
GAUUCCAAUUCCAUUCAUAGACUAAAUGCACCCUAAGCUAAGAGGAUGACUUAAGGCUCUUUAGGCUUGUAGCACCAUAAUUGGAUCUUAUUUGGCAUAUGAAGAUCUUAAAAGAAACACUAUGUGCAUCAACUCAGACAAUGCUGACCCUUAAACGCACUGUCUUCUUGCUAUGAAGUGAAUGCUUAUACAUAAGAUAUUGAAGAGGCCAAAGGAUCGAGAUUGAUGGCU